rnacentral:rRNA from 1 species
AUACGGAGGGUGCAAGCGUUACUCGGAAUCACUGGGCGUAAAGCGCGCGCAGGCGGCUAUUUAAGUUGGAUGUGAAAGCCUACGGCUCAACCGUAGAACUGCAUCCAAAACUAUUUAGCUAGAGUCUGGGAGGGGAAGAUGGAAUUAGUUGUGUAGGGGUAAAAUCCGUAGAGAUAACUAGGAAUACCAAAAGCGAAGGCGAUCUUCUGGAACAGUACUGACGCUGAGGCGCGAAAGCGUGGGGAGCGAACAGGAUUAGAAACCCCAGUAGUCC